rnacentral:lncRNA from 1 species
AUGCAUUGUACGAUGUUGUCUCAACUUCUCUCCCUCAGCUCAGGAUCCUGAACUUCCAGUGCAGUGGGAAAUGCUUUUUGGUCUUGCACUGGCGACAAGAUCUGACUUGUGCAUUUGCUUCCAGAACACUUGGAACUAUCCACUUCAAAUGACACAUCAUAGCAAAUUGGGUGGUCUCCAAGUUUUGGCUUUGCUCUGCUCUGGGGUUUGCACUACAGGCGAACCAAAGGCCAAGAAGGGAAAGUUGGGAUAUUUUUACAUAAUUAUACAACUUAAAAUCAGACCUAACAAGGAAGACUCAACUGAUUAAGGACUUCAGCAGCACAGGCGCACUACAACCACCAGCAACCUCCUUCCGAUGGCCACAGCCCUUGGUUUGCUGACCUCCUGGCCAUCCUCAUGCGUAGACAACAUCAAAGGGCCACAUUUUCAAAGGUGACCAGCAUUUUCCACCACUUGGCCUGCAACAUCCUAAAAGGAGGUGAGCUUUCUGAAAGCAAUGAGCACACAUGCUAUGGAAGAAACCAAAACAUCUGGAGGUUCUCCAAUGAGGCAGCCGGAAAUGAAGACUUUCCACACAAAUAACCUAAGUAAAGUUCAGAUUGGGUACAGAAUUCACCUUUCCCUUUGGAAGAAUUUACUCAUGAGACACUAUCAGCCUGGGAGAAACAUGGGAUCUUCUAGAGCUGUAGGGCUAUGUAUGUGCAAGCUGCAUUUCAGGGAAGAGAUUGAUUAAAGGACUCUGGGAGAAGAGGUUUGUAUCAUCUUUAAAAAUACACAUCCAUGUGUACAGAUAUCUCACACGGCAGAUGACCACAUCAUAGAGGAAGGGAGUAUCUGUUAAAACUGGUUUUCUCUUAAAUGAACUGGGGUUUUCAAGCUGCCACGCUCAUGUCUGUGUGCUACCAAGUGGUAUGGCCACAUCCAAGCGUGCAAGAAAGCAUGAGUCAUGUCCCUUCAAAAUUAGGAAAUGAGCUUUGAAAAGUACCCUUUUUCUAAAAAAAAAAACCUGUUGAUAUACUGUCACAGCUUUGAAAGGAAAAUUUAAUUUAAAAAAAAAAAUUAAUGUAAUAUUUUUAUGUAACCCUGUGAUUCCAGAUGAUGAUGCCUUAUGGGAUGCAUCAUGCUGUGAUACUUGCACUGAAUCUGUGAGAUACUGGAAACUGGAUACAUGAUUGUUUUACAGAAACGCAUACAAAUCACAAAGACCCUCAGCUUUUCUUCACAGCAACAAAGAACUUAAUAAAGAAAAGAUGUUAAUACUAAAAGUGCUGCA